CCUGCCCUGCCCUGCCCUGCCCGCUCGGAGGCCGGUGCUCCCACGGCAUCGUGCGCUCUCCCAGCCGCGUGAUGUGCGAUGCUCGGCGGGCCCAGCUCUGAUACUCUCCUCAAAGGGAAAUACCCGAUGUUCAGCAGCCCAUCAAAGAGGGUGUGCAGUCUCUGAAUAAGAUCGUGCAGGUCCAGAAAUUGCUUCUAGAAAAGCAGCAGCUAUCUCCCGAGGGAAGGGUAACCCUCGGCCAUGUGAAACGGGAUGUGUCUUCUCUUGAAAGCCCUGAAGGGCAGCAGGAACCUCACAGCUGACAGAAACAUCGCCCUCUUCUGGGAACAGAAAUGAGAAGUUGUUGAGAAUGUUUUUCAAAAAUGCAAAUGGGCUGUUUUCAACUCUUUUAUAUUUAUGACUGUAUUACUGUGAGACUGUUAAGAGUUUUAAUUUUGUAGUUACCCCACCUGCUGUUUCAUUAUUAAAGCCUUGGGUCUGAUUAAUCAAAAAUGUAUUCUGCAGUCAGAUCACAGCAGUUGUAUAAAAUUUGUAAGCAUGACUAUACUGUGAAAGCUAUUCAUGACCGAAACAACUUCUAAAGUUUCUGAUGUGUCUUAUGAGGAAGCAGUAUGGUAAAAUGGGUGUUAUGCCUAGAGGCAAAACAAAACCAUGAUGCUGCUCUGAGGGGUUUUCUUUCCUUUCAUGUAAAACCCCCCUCACCCAUACACACUACAUGCAGAGGGGGAGAGUUCACAUGCAAGUAAUUUUCAUGAGCACUUGAAGAUGUAGAUACCAAAACGAUAUGGCUGACAAAUGGCAAAAAUCAUAGAAAACCUUGGCAAAUUCUAUCCCCUACACCAUGCAGUUUUAGUGCAAUUCUGUGUCUCUAAGGGAAAUUGUCAUUGAGCCAUUUGUUUCAAAAACCAAAUAUUGUAUGAGGAGGCUAUCAAUGAAUCUUCACACUUCACUUAGAUCAAUAAACCUCUUUACAUCAGUCUUCAGCUUUCAUUGCCUCCCAACUUUGCUGAAUUCUUAUAACAGAAGAUGUGAUGAGAACUUGUAGUUCAUGUUUUCAUGGAAGUUUUCAUUUGAUAUCUGAGUAGCCUUCACUGUCAUGUAGUCUGGGGUUAACUUAUUUCUUCAGUUGUUGUGGAAUUUAUGCUUCCCCUGCUUAUGUUUGUGCAGAAGCUAACACCAGAAUGUUGCUUGUAUCUGGGCUUUUUUUCCUUUACUGCAGCUGUUAGUAGGUUGUAUGGGAGCUUGUGUUAGAAUUUUUUCAUAUUGCUGCUGCCAUAUUCAGCAAGUUUAACGAGGUAAAAAAUGAAAGCAGCUCUGGAAAGCAAGUUUGAGGACAGUAGUGUCCAGAGUUGAGAGGGACAGAAGGUAACAGCAGAGGUUCACACUGAAGAUAGAAUUUGUUACUUUUGCAGCACAGAAAGAUAUUAGCAAAAAAGAAAUAGUGUAGAUGGAUCAAUUCUUCAGACUAAUGGUUUCAGUGCAGCUGAACACUGUAAAUCACAGAUUUCCCUAGUCUAUUAGACUCAGAACAGAACAAAAACAGCUUGUCUGAUGUCUGGAGCAGCUCGGAGAAACACUUAAUAUUAAUUCAUGAGGAAUAUGCUAUAAGAAGUCUGUUAAGAUUAAAUUUACAAAGGAAAACUUCCAAUCAUAUGAAUUACAUUUUAAAGAAAUAAAAUGAACUUACUUUUGGGA